rnacentral:rRNA from 1 species
AUUGAACGCUGGCGGCAGGCUUAACACAUGCAAGUCGCACGAGUGGCGGACGGGUGAGUAAUGCUUGGGACUCUAGCUUAUGGAGGGGGAUAACUACGGGAAACUGUAGCUAAUACCGCGUACCAUAGGAUGAGCCCAAGUGGGAUUAGGUAGUUGGUGAGGUAAAGGCUCACCAAGCCGACGAUCUCUAGCUGGUCUGGGAGGAUGAACAGCCAACACGGGACUGAGAAAAGGUCCCGACUCCCACGGGAGGUAGGAAUGGGGAAUAUUGCGGAAUGGGGUGAAACUGACGGAGGCAUGCCGCGUUAAUGAAGAAGGGCUUUGGGGUUGAAAGUUCUUUCGGUAGCGAGGCGUUAACUACAGAAGAAGCACCGGCUAACUCCGUGCCAGCAGCCGCGGUAAUAC